rnacentral:rRNA from 1 species
AUUGAACGCUGGCGGCAGGCCUAACACAUGCAAGUCGAGCGGUAGCACAGAGAGCUUGCUCUCGGGUGACGAGCGGCGGACGGGUGAGUAAUGUCUGGGAAACUGCCUGAUGGAGGGGGAUAACUACUGGAAACGGUAGCUAAUACCGCAUAACGUCGCAAGACCAAAGUGGGGGACCUUCGGGCCUCAUGCCAUCAGAUGUGCCCAGAUGGGAUUAGCUAGUAGGUGGGGUAACGGCUCACCUAGGCGACGAUCCCUAGCUGGUCUGAGAGGAUGACCAGCCACACUGGAACUGAGACACGGUCCAGACUCCUACGGGAGGCAGCAGUGGGGAAUAUUGUACAAUGGGCGCAAGCCUGAUGCAGCCAUGCCGCGUGUGUGAAGAAGGCCUUCGGGUUGUAAAGCACUUUCAGCGGGGAGGAAGGCGGUGAGGUUAAUAACCUCAUCGAUUGACGUUACCCGCAGAAGAAGCACCGGCUAACUCCGUGCCAGCAGCCGCGGUAAUACGGAGGGUGCAAGCGUUAAUCGGAAUUACUGGGCGUAAAGCGCACGCAGGCGGUCUGUCAAGUCGGAUGUGAAAUCCCCGGGCUCAACCUGGGAACUGCAUUCGAAACUGGCAGGCUAGAGUCUUGUAGAGGGGGGUAGAAUUCCAGGUGUAGCGGUGAAAUGCGUAGAGAUCUGGAGGAAUACCGGUGGCGAAGGCGGCCCCCUGGACAAAGACUGACGCUCAGGUGCGAAAGCGUGGGGAGCAAACAGGAUUAGAUACCCUGGUAGUCCACGCCGUAAACGAUGUCGAUUUGGAGGUUGUGCCCUUGAGGCGUGGCUUCCGGAGCUAACGCGUUAAAUCGACCGCCUGGGGAGUACGGCCGCAAGGUUAAAACUCAAAUGAAUUGACGGGGGCCCGCACAAGCGGUGGAGCAUGUGGUUUAAUUCGAUGCAACGCGAAGAACCUUACCUGGUCUUGACAUCCACAGAACUUUCCAGAGAUGGAUUGGUGCCUUCGGGAACUGUGAGACAGGUGCUGUAUGGCUGUCGUCAGCUCGUGUUGUGAAAUGUUGGGUUAAGUCCCGCAACGAGCGCAACCCUUAUCCUUUGUUGCCAGCGGUUAGGCCGGGAACUCAAAGGAGACUGCCAGUGAUAAACUGGAGGAAGGUGGGGAUGACGUCAAGUCAUCAUGGCCCUUACGACCAGGGCUACACACGUGCUACAAUGGCAUAUACAAAGAGAAGCGACCUCGCGAGAGCAAGCGGACCUCAUAAAGUAUGUCGUAGUCCGGAUUGGAGUCUGCAACUCGACUCCAUGAAGUCGGAAUCGCUAGUAAUCGUAGAUCAGAAUGCUACGGUGAAUACGUUCCCGGGCCUUGUACACACCGCCCGUCACACCAUGGGAGUGGGUUGCAAAAGAAGUAGGUAGCUUAACCUUCGGGAGGGCGCUUACCACUUUGUGAUUCAUGACUGGGGUGA